CAUUCAAAAUCCUAAAGACAACUGCAUAUUUUUAGUAAUUAACUGCUUAUAAUAUGUCAUGAUAUAGCUACAAUAUUUUUUAACCUCUAUUUUUCACUACUUUUUGGUUGCCUCUUAAUAUGACAAUGAUUUUGUUAUACUAUGUUCAAUAGAGAUAAAAGAAAGAUAAUUCACUCUUUCCUCUAGCACGGUUGACUGGAGUUUCUUUAUUAUUGAAAGUUGCAAUGCAUAAAACUCACAAUUUCUCACCAGACAUAUUGGCUUUUUAUGGCACUCCUACAGGUCUGCAUCUAUAGACACAGCAUUGUGAUGAAUUCUAUUUCACACAAUUCUCAUUUUAAAAGAAAAAACUUAUGGUGCAUUUAUAACUAUAAAUAAUGCCUUAUUAAGUAUGGUCCUGACAGGAGAGAAUGUUGCCUUUACCAGGCAUCGUUGAAAUGGAAUCUUCCGUUUACAACUGUAUACAUGUGAUGACUAGACACGGUUUCCACAGGCUGGCUUUUAGCUCCAUACCUUGAAAAUCUCGCUUCUCCUCCAUUCCCCACAGGCCUCCAGUAUUUAGUUUGUUGAUGAGACCUUUGGUCUGCAACCCUGUGUCAUGAUGGCAGAUGAGCUGGCACAGUGGAGGUGGCAUUCCUGGAAGCCAUCCCUACAUCAGGAAGGCUAAAAAUAACUUAAUUGUACACAGGAGGGACAGGAAACCACAUAAAUACAUCCCACGAAGCCCAACCAAAGUAUCCGCAACUCCAGGUCCUCUUAGCUAGAAUACUCAAUUGCUCUGGCACCAACUUGAACACCACUUGACAGCCCCGGGGGGUAUGAUGGAAGAGGAGUCAGAGUGGAAAUAACAUUCUUAACCAACUGUGGUUAAAAUAUCUGAUUUUUGCAAAUUUUAUGAGGACAAAGGGCAAUGAGAACACCUGGAAGGUCCAGGGCCGAUGAGAAGCCUCAACUUCAGUAGCCUCCCUGUGAAUUUCCCCCAUCCUUGAAGCGAAGGACUGCCCACUCCGCCUGCCUGUGGGAGGAUGUAGCCAGGUUAGCAGGGAUUACAGAGUAAAAUAGCUUGAAGAUGAAAGAGCAUGAUUUUCCAUUUAAGGAGCAGUCUGCCAUUUCUGUUGGCCAGGAGAUGGUUGAUAUAUAUCUGAAGAUAAAUAGUUAAUAAAGGUG
rnacentral:lncRNA from 1 species